rnacentral:rRNA from 1 species
AUGAACGCUGGCGGCGUGCCUGAUACAGGCAAGUCGGACGGGCCGGCUGAGGGGGGAAGCCCUGGAGGGGGCGGAGGGCGAGAAAUCGUCGGAGGUCUCCGAGGGGGUGGAGCCCCGGGGGCCGGUCAGUGGCGAACGGGUGCGUAACACGUGGGUGAUCUACCCCGAAGUGGGGGAUAGCUGGUCGAAAGGCCAGGUAAUACCGCAUGAGCUCCGCGAGGAGGAAAGGGGGGAUUUCCUCCCGCUUUGGGAUGAGCCCGCGGCCGAUUAGCUAGUUGGUGAGGUAAUGGCUCACCAAGGCGACGAUCGGUAGCUGGUCUGAGAGGACGGCCAGCCACACUGGAACUGAGACACGGUCCAGACUCCUACGGGGGGCAGCCGCAGGGAAUAUUGCACAAUGGGCGCAAGCCUGAUGCAGCGACGCCGCGUGAGCGACGAAGGCCUUCGGGCUGUAAAGCUCUUUUCUGAGGGAUGAGGGAGGACAGUACCUGAGGAAGAAGCCUCGGCUAACUACGUGCCAGCAGCCGCGGUAAGACGUAGGAGGCGAGCGUUAUCCGGAUUUACUGGGCGUAAAGGGCAAGUAGGCGGUGGUCAAAGUUGGGCGUGAAAGCUCCCGGCUCAACCGGGAGAGGUCGCUCAAAACUAGGCCACUAGAGGGCAGGAGAGGGGGGCGGAAUUCCUGGUGUAGCGGUGGAAUGCUCAGAUACCAGGAGGAACACCGGUGGCGAAGGCGGCCCCUGGACUGCGCCUGACGCUGAGAGGCGAAAGCUAGGGGAGCGAACGGGUUUAGAUAUCCCGGUAGUCCUAGCCCUAAACGUUGGAUACUGGGUAGCGGGGGGUUGAAAUCUCCCGGUGCCGAAGCUAACGCGUUAAGUAUCCCGCCUGGGGACUACGGCCGCAAGGUUAAAACUCAAAGGAAUUGACGGGGGCCCGCACAAGCAGCGGAGCGUGUGGUUUAAUUCGAUGCAACACGAAGAACCUUACCUGGGCUUGACAUGCGCGUAGUAGGGAACCGAAAGGGGACCGAGCCUUCGGGCAGCGCGCACAGGUGCUGCAUGGCUGUCGUCAGCUCGUGCCGUGAGGUGUUGGGUUAAGUCCCCCAACGAGCGCAACCCCUGUUGCCAGUUGCAGGUUUCUGGCGAGACUGCCGGCAUAUAACCGGAGGAAGGCGGGGAUGACGUCAAGUCAGCAUGGCCUUUAUGUCCAGGGCUACACACACGCUACAAUGGCCGGUACAAAGGGGGGCGAAGCCGCGAGGCGGAGCGAAUCCUCCAAAGCCGGUCUCAGUUCAGAUUGCAGGCUGCAACCCGCCUGCAUGAAGUCGGAGUUGCUAGUAACCGCCGGUCAGCCAUACGGCGGUGAAUACGUUCCCGGGCCUUGUACACACCGC